UAUUAAACCCACAUCCUCAUGGAUAUUAGUCAGAUUCUUAACCUGCUGAGCCACAACAGACACUCCCCAUAGUGUUCGAUCCUUGAUUCAAAGUAGGGAGAUGAGAUUACGACAGUUGAAAGCAAGAGGCAUCUCUUGGUGCCUCUGAAUAGGAACCUGACCUAGGAAGUAAUUGACAACUCCUUGUUAUUUUCUGACUCAACCUAUCUGCUCACAGAUCCACAUAGGCUUUUGGGCUCACAAAGUCCAUGAGCCAAGGUCAAACUUGCUUUUACCUCACAUUUGGGGUUUCACUUGUCUUUGUUCCUCAGCUCUAGCUCCAUCAAAAAUAAGACAGUGAAGGAGUUCCCAUUGUGGCUCAGUGGGUUAAGAACCCAACUAGUAUCCAUUAGGAUUCAGUGUUGCUGUAAGCUGUGGUGUAGGUUGCAGAUGUGGCUCAGAUACGACCCCUAGCCUUGGAACUUCCAUAUGCUGCAGAUGCAGCCCUAAAAUGGAAAAAAAAAAAAAAGUGAACUUGUCGGUCAAGCAGCUUAUAGUUUCUCCAGGCCAUUUGGGUGUGGAGAGGAGGAGAUACAACAAUGCCUGAAGCUUUCUGAAGAAAUAAAUACAUUUAGGAGGACAAGGCAUUAUUUGUAAGUCAGACUUUUUCAAUCCCAGGGCUGAGUUUGGACGCUACUGUCCUUGCCUUGCAGGAUGUUAAGCGGCAUUCUGGCUUCUAUCCACUAGAGGGCGGUAGCCCUCCCUGCUCCCAAACAAUCAGUCAGGAUCAGCAGAAAUGUCUCCAGGCCUUGCCAAAUGGUUGAAAAGACCUGGUGUGUUUUCCUAAAGAGUAUAAAAACUCUAUUAAUGCACAGUAAUGCAUAAUAGUUAUUUGGUGGAUCAAAGAGAGCCAAAUAAGCGAAUGUACCUCCUUUACUUCUCUCUUCUACAUCAAUUGUUUUCUACCAUACAGAUCCAGAAAGCCUCCUGGGAUAAGUGCAGGGAAACAAGCAAAUAAAAUAGGGCUUAUUUCACUUCCGUUUCAUUACUCAGAAAUCUAAAUAUCUCAAGGGUUUUUGGCAAGAAAUAAUUAACUAAUGUGCUCAGAUUCCUCUCAUAGGCAGAAGUGCACAAGCCCCAAACGUGAGUUGCCUGCCUCUGUUUAAGCUCUGCAGAAUUUCCCCCUCCCCAUUAUUGGGGAGCACAGUGGCCUCUUUAUUCCCAUGAACCAUGUGGCCUUGGGUUUACCUUUUUUUCUUUGCACCUCCUUUUUUCCCCUAUUUUAAAAUUUUUAUUGAAAUAUAGUUGAUUUACAAUGUUGUGAUAAUUUUUGCUUUACAACAAAGUGAUUCAGUUUUUUGUUUUGUUUUGCUUUUUUGUUGUUGUUUGUUUUUAUUUGACCACAAGGUGCAGCAGCUUGAUGUGGAAUCUCAGGUCCCAGAUUAGGGAUUGACCCCAGGCCACAGCUGUGAAAGUGCCAAUUCCCAACCACUAGACCACCAGGGAACUCCCUCUUUCCACCUCUUGAUCCUUUUUUACCUCUCUGUUAGAGGCUCUGUUGGGUUCUUGAGGCUAUGGGAAUGCUAGCUUUGAAGAGUAGAAAUCAAGGACAGUGUCCUUGCUGGCUCAUAGAGGUUGCCUUGUUAUUUUGCUAUUUGCCAUGCAGGAUGACAAAACACACUCCAAUAGAUGAGAAAUUGACAUAGCCGUUAAAUUGACCAAGAUUUGAAAGAGAUUCCUUUGUGGCCUUUACAGAAAGCCACAGACAUGAUGAUAGAAUCAAAAGUAUAACCUUUUGGGGAAAAAAAAAAACUGAUGGAAAUAGGAUCAUUCACCUUGAAGAUUGAAGAUGAAUCAUGAAGUGUCAUUAAACAAAGAAGCUUAUGUUUUCUCCUUCUACCUAAGAUAGCAGAAAACCUUAAUAUGUACAAGGUGUGAAGAAUUUAAAUCUAUUGCAGGGCAACAUUUCUGAUAAUUAAGUUUUAUAAACUUUACCAUCAAGGGUGGUUUUGGAAUCUUCUCUAAAGGUCUUUAAAAAUUGCCUGAACUUGAUUCUGGCUGGUUGCCUCAGGUAGGCUGUGGUCCUGCAAGGGAAAGAAUGGCUUCUUGAGUCUCACUGCUCUUGCUCUUGAAUGGCGAUGAGGUGACAGAGCCUUAACUUUAUUCUCUAAAUCAGGGCUUGGGCCAUGUGCUUUCCCAGUUGUGAGUUACUUGGCCACAUUCAACAGAUGGAGUUUCUCUCUGUGCCUUCAGUGGAGCUCUGUGUUUUUCCUUAGAUAAGCGGUGUUGCUACUUGGGUUCCCCCAAGCUGAUUCUGAGAUUGGAGAUUUGUGUACAGGCUGCUCGCUAGGGGGCGCUUUUGGUAUCAACCAAGAUGGGCUGGGGAGAAAGUAGGAUUGGACAGAGGGAGAAGGUGAGCUCUGAAGAAAUCCCAGCAAAGAACUCAGUAGACCACAUAGAAAACUCUGAGGCUGGGAUGGCUCUUCUCAAGUGUCCCCAGUUGGGGUAAGAGGGCCCGGCCAUUUAUACGCCUAUGGAUGACUCACUGGAUGGGGGCUGCCACCUGAAGAAUGCAUGACCUUGGGCAGAGCAGCUUCCUUUAGCCCAGGUACUCCCCAAAGAGGGCUGGCAGCUGGGGGUCUUCUUCCAGCAGCAUUCCCAUCAAGUGGGGAAAUAAACCCUCCAUUCAGGAAAGGGGUUUUGGGGGUGCAUCUUUGUGUUCACCACAGGCAGUCUUCCUUAUCUUCUACUUGUGUUUGAGACUUGCCUUUACCCUUUAUUAUUUAUAGAAGAGGCAUUGUCCCUCCUCCAGGAACAUAUGUCUCUUACUCUUGUUCCCUGUCCUACCCUUGCCACCCCUGUACACAGAGUAAAUGCAGAGUCAGAUUCUGUUGUUUCUGAAAUGUCUUUCCCCCCUCCCUCACUUCCCUCCUUUAGCACUCAUCAGGCAUUCACCUGCUUCCAAUUUAAGCCUCGUGACAGCCAGCCUAGAUGGCAAGCUAAAUGUCAGUUGAUUUCUUCUUCUUUGGAGUUUUUCCAUUAUUCCCUUAGUGGCCAUGUACUCCCCUCUGCCAAUACCUUGUGCAUGAAUUCCCAGGAUAGUGGUGUGGCUGGCCUGGAGCCUGGGUUAGCUCAGCCCUGAGCUUGUGAGACUUUGAUCACAGCCUGUUUUCUCAAUUAGCUGUCUAAAGGAGUUCUCUUGCAGUGCAGCAGGUUAAGGACCUGGCAUUGUCACUGCAGCAGCUUGGGUUGCUGCUGUGGCGCAGGUUCCAUCCCUGGCACAGGAACUUCCACAUGCCAUGGACACGGCCAAAAAGGAAGAAAAAUAUAUAGUGAAUUAGUUGUCUAAAGCGAGGAGAGCUCACUGGACUAAGUGAUCCCCUACAUCUCUUAGUGUAUUCAGUGACUUUUUGAUUUGAAGGAUUUUCACAAAGGAAAAUGGGACCUAAAAGAGGGCCAGAUUCCCUACUUUGUCUUCACUUCCUAUCGCACCCACAAGGAAGACUGGAGCCUCCUUUCCCAAAUAAAUGCAAGGUGGGGAAUUAGUUAUGGCCUUGUCUAGAGAGUGUGGGGGAGUGGAGGUUUAGAAUCCCCAGACCAUUUUGGAAACCUGAACUGAAAUUAGAAAAUUCUUCACAGUCCCUCUUGCAGCUGCUCCUAGCUUCUGCCUGUGAGGCUCUCCUGUAAUGUGAGUGAAGGUGAAUCUGGAGCUGGGUGGAGCUGCAUUUGAAAUGCUCUGGGAGUCCACUGCAGCCAGAGUGGGUUCCUGCUGGUUUCUUUCUACUGGCCUCCCUCCCCUUUUCUCAGUCUCAAUGGAUUUAAUUAUCACUGUUGGUAUUUUCUAUAGCCUUUGUCUUUUGUUUGUUUUUUGCACCAGAGGGAGCCAGGGUAAAUGUUGGCCCUUGAAAGGAACUCGGGCUCAGGGGGGGCCAGGUAAAGACCCUUCAAACUGUCCUUUCUUUUCCAGGAUGGCACUCUUUCAGUAAUGACAGACUGUGAUAAAUGGGUUGCACAGAAUAAAUAUAGCACAGAGCAGAGAAGCUGGAGCGGAAAGGCUAGUGGAAAAGUGAACCUGGCUGUUUAAGAGCUGAGCUGAGCUUAUUUGCAUAGUAACUCAGGUGUGGUUACUUAUUUAUGAAGCACAUUUCCUCUGAGGUGUGGAAAAUAGGCUAGCUGUGAACCUGAUCUGGGCCUUAGAAUGCUCAGAGUCAGGAGGCAGAGCCCCUCUCCUUGAGCCCCUCUCCUCUUCCCCCUCCGGGUGCUCCUGUUGAUUCCCUGAACUUUUUCUUCCCUUCUUGCUAUGCUGUCGGGUCCUGGAAGGCAGGGACAGUGUUUGGUCACCAUUGUUUCCCUGGUGUCCAGUGUCUCACCUGGCACCUGGCCAGCCUUCAAUAAAUGGGCAUGUCCUGAAUGGCAUUUGGCAGUGAAGCAUACAACUACCUGGAAGUUGGAGGGAGGUAAAUAGAAAAGAAGAGGAGAGGACUUUGAGCUCCCUAACGAGACACCCACCUUGAAGCCAGAAGAGGAAGUAAGGUUAGAAAGGACAGAAGCAGCACCAUUUGAAGAAGGGGGUCAGCUGUGGACCUACUGCAGAAGAUCCCAAACAAACUUGCCCUUUUCCCAAGUGCAUGGUUUUACUUCUCCAGAAAAAGGAAAACACCAAAACAAGCCACACAAUUCCCUCCCCCCAAUAAAAGACGCCUACCCCAAACAGCAAUUGCUUCAGACUCAUAGUGAUGCCCUAGUUACACAGCAGAAAGAACAAAGAAGUGAUUUAAGCAUCUUGAAAUUGAAAUUGCUGUUGCCAAACACCAGAGGGUCAGCAGAAUCAUUAGAUUCCAGAAAAUGCAGAACCUCUGAGGCCUCUGUAUUCUUCCAUCCUGAUGUCAGAUUGCUGGCAGCCCACGCUGAGCUGCUUCAUAAGAAUGUGCAGCUAGGCCACUGCCUCUAGAAGAGAAGAGGCAGCGAGGGCCAGCUGGCUCUACUGGGGGGCUUGGAAGCUCUGCAUUGAAGAUACAUUAACCAGCCGAGGACACUGUCAUUUCUCUGCUCCCAGUGAUGAAUGAGGCCAAGGCUGCCCUUUCAGCUGAUUAGACACAGAUGUGGAUGUCUCUGAGUUUAUCCAUUGGGGGCCUGGCAGGGAAACAAUUUAUCUCAGGUGCUUCAAAUAGAAAGACUAAUACAGGGAUUAACCGAGCCGCGGGCAGAGUUACGGGAACAUAAUAGAAUGUUGAGAUACCCAGAGAUUUGUAUCAGUGGGAGCCAUUACCCCCUCAGGCCCGAGUGCAGAGGGAAGAUUGAAGUCUGGGUGCCUGACCCUGUGGGACUGGAGCUGUGGAGAGAGGGCCUCCAGACCUAGGGCAGCUGGCAGGGAGGAGUGGCGAGGAAAUCCCUGCCCCUUAUUCCUGCUGGUGCCUCCCACUGACCAAACCAAAAGCUGGCCCACAAGGGUGCCCGGAAUGGUGACUUCUUCAAGGGAGAACCCUGCAUGUUCCUGGUUCCCAGCCAUGUGGAGGACAACAAACUCAGAAAAGGAGAGUCUUUGCAAAUGGAUGAAGACCCAAAGUGACCAGACCAGGAAGCCUGUUGAACUUUUAGACACAGAAACAAGAAAUUUGUGAAGAAUUGAUGAGACAAGAGGUUUGGGCUAUGGUAGUAAAUGAUGAAGAAAUGAGCUGGAAGAUAAAGGUUAGUUUAAUAAGGUUUGUUUGUACAGAAAACAAAUUGUCCUUAAUCCCUGCCUUUGAUCUUCAGAAUGUCUUCUUUCCUUUUGGGACCAGGAAGGCACCUUUCACAUGCGAGUUUUAUGACCUGUUUCAGGGAAGAGGACAAGUUGGGGGAGAUGUGAGUGAUCUUCCUGCUUCUGCUGUUUUUUAAAUUUCUUUGGCUUAAAAUAUUUAAUAUGCCAAGAUGCCCUCUCUUGGGGUAGCAUAUUCUGAACCCCAUCACAAACAGAGACUGCAUGGCCCACAAACCCCAAAACAUCUACUAUCUGGCUCUUUAUAACAAAAAUUUGCUGAUUCCCCAGCCUAGAGUAAUGGUAGAUAUGAUAUCUUCAAGGAAUUUGAGUUCUACAAAUCCAAUUCCAGUUCUAUUUCUCUUGAAAGUUUGAGCCUCCCUUCUCUCUUCGCAUAAAUCAUCAUCUUUUCCAAAGAAAUGAUGAAAGUAUAUAUGGGCAUGGUUUGGACUAAAGAUUAUGAAAUAAGAACAUCUAUCUUUAAGGAAAGUUAAUAUAAAUAAUUUUUUAAAAAUUCACUUGUUGGAGUUCUUGUUGUGGUUCAGCAGUAAUGGUAAUUAACUAGU